AAACACUAGCUAUAAUUGUUGCUAGAAGUUAAAAUUGUAUUCUUUCAUACACAAGUAAACUCUCUCUUGUUCUCUGACCAAGUUCAAUCCAGUGUGUUUUUUCAACUUUAGUGGAUAAAAAUGAUAUAUUUGACAAUAAACAGGAGAUUUCCAUUGGUGCAUAUUUACACUUUUUCAUUGCUUUGCUCACUAUCCUGGUAUCUACAGAACUGUAGUUUUGUGGUUUCUUUGGCUGCUUGUGGCAAUAGAAAAUUGGAUUAUACUAGCUAGUCUAGUUAUUUAGCUUCUGAUGGAAAACUUACAUGUUUACAAGCGCUUUUAUCCUAUGGAGAUCUUGUAAAUCAUGU
rnacentral:misc_RNA from 1 species